UACGUAGGUGGCAAGCGUUGUCCGGAUUUAUUGGGUUUAAAGGGUGCGUAGGCGGCUUUGUAAGUCAGUGGUGAAAUAUGGCAGCUCAACUGUCAAGGUGCCAUUGAUACUGCAAAGCUUGAGUACAGAUGAGGUAGGCGGAAUUGACGGUGUAGCGGUGAAAUGCGUAGAUAUCGUAAGGAAGGCCGGUGGCGAAAGCGAGUCUC
rnacentral:rRNA from 1 species